UCGGUUUCUCUCUGAUUAGAUGUCAUUGGCAAUCUUUGGGGUUGUUUUGGCUGUAUAAUAUAGAAUGGAUGAAUAGUUAACUAUGACUGACAUUUGUACGUCAUUUGUAAAUGAUCAAUCUAGGAGUAGUCAAAUAGCACUUGAACGUGCACCUUUGUGUGUGGGUUUAUUAUCUCAUUAUUGCAAAUAAUGCAUAAUUGGAAUUCCCUUAGAAACAUUACAUCUUAAUUAUGUUUCCAAAACAGAUAUGCUUACUGAAACUUACAUUGAGUUCGUGCGGCAGAUCUUCUCGUGGGAUUUCUCAUCAAUGCCAUUCUGAAGCUAAGAGGGGUGCCUGAGAAAUUGUGCACUUAUUCAGUGAUGGUAUGGCUUUUGAAUCCAUUUACCUUUACCAUUGGAACUCGUGGGAAUUGUGAACCCAUCAUCUGCGCCAUAAUCCUUUGGAUUAUAUUAUGUCUAAUGAAGGGUAAAACUUCUAGGUCCUUUUGUUUAUCUCUAGCAUGGUUAUGUUGAGAAUUUACUCCCAAAUUCUUAUUUUCCGUUGUUAGUUUACUCCCCUACUGUUACUCUCUGUGAUAUUAUCUCUUUCAGAAUGGUCCGCCUCCUUCUUAACGUACCUUAAUUAUCAUUGGAGCAAUGGAAACCACAGUAAGGAGGGAAAGUAUGAAGGGGGAAGUAUUUACACUAUCAGAAUCAUGGUUUAGGCAAUGAAUUGUCAUCAAACACCUAUCAAGACUGUCUUUCUCCCACUCAACCCCAGGGAUAGGUGUAUAAUGAACCAACACAAUAUUAAGAGCCAGUGAAUGAGGUUUUAGCAAGCUAACAAUGUAAGAUGAAUAUUAUUCUUUUAUCAUUAGGACUUGGUUUCUCCAAUUAAAAAAUGAAUCAAGAUUUGUAACUGAAUCUGCAUCUGUUUCAUUUAACAGCUAUUAUACAAUUUGAAAUUAUAGCGAGCCUCUAGUUUAAAGCAAAAAUAGAAACCAAGAAUCUUAACUCUGGAACUUUAUAGGGUUAAACAGCAAAUUCAUUUAAUUGAGAGUGUUUCCGCAAAUCCUCCGAUAUUUUGGGUCAGAUUACUGUGUUCUCACUUGGGUUAGUAGGGACUGUGGCUCCGUAUUUUUCUUUGUAAUUUUAAAUCUUCAUGCUCUACUGAUUUGGUUGUGUUUCCCUGAUCAGGUCGUUUAGUACAAGCUGCAUUUUGGUAUGGGCUUGUCGUCCACAUCAGAAUCUAUCCAAUAAUUUAUGCUCUUCCGGCUAUAGGUCCUAAGCCUAGGGUUUAUCGAAAACAGCCCCUCUACUUCUCCUGAAGUAGUGGUAUAGUCUGCGUACACUCUACUCUCCUCAGACCCGCUAUGUAGGAGUACACUCGGUAUGUUUUUGUUGCAAAGGUUCCAUUUUUAUCUACUCUUUCUUGUUUUCCCUCAUAGAAAUGCUUCUUAUAUGUGGUUUCCAAGAGAUUUUAGCCUGAGAUUUUAGCCUCUCUCGGUUUCUCUCUGAUUAGAUGUCAUUGGCAAUCUUUGGGGUUGUUUUGGCUGUAUAAUAUAGAAUGGAUGAAUAGUUAACUAUGACUGACAUUUGUACGUCAUUUGUAAAUGAUCAAUCUAGGAGUAGUCAAAUAGCACUUGAACGUGCACCUUUGUGUGUGGGUUUAUUAUCUCAUUAUUGCAAAUAAUGCAUAAUUGGAAUUCCCUUAGAAACAUUACAUCUUAAUUAUGUUUCCAAAACAGAUAUGCUUACUGAAACUUACAUUGAGUUCGUGCGGCAGAUCUUCUCGUGGGAUUUCUCAUCAAUGCCAUUCUGAAGCUAAGAGGGGUGCCUGAGAAAUUGUGCACUUAUUCAGUGAUGGUAUGGCUUUUGAAUCCAUUUACCUUUACCAUUGGAACUCGUGGGAAUUGUGAACCCAUCAUCUGCGCCAUAAUCCUUUGGAUUAUAUUAUGUCUAAUGAAGGGUAAAACUUCUAGGUCCUUUUGUUUAUCUCUAGCAUGGUUAUGUUGAGAAUUUACUCCCAAAUUCUUAUUUUCCGUUGUUAGUUUACUCCCCUACUGUUACUCUCUGUGAUAUUAUCUCUUUCAGAAUGGUCCGCCUCCUUCUUAACGUACCUUAAUUAUCAUUGGAGCAAUGGAAACCACAGUAAGGAGGGAAAGUAUGAAGGGGGAAGUAUUUACACUAUCAGAAUCAUGGUUUAGGCAAUGAAUUGUCAUCAAACACCUAUCAAGACUGUCUUUCUCCCACUCAACCCCAGGGAUAGGUGUAUAAUGAACCAACACAAUAUUAAGAGCCAGUGAAUGAGGUUUUAGCAAGCUAACAAUGUAAGAUGAAUAUUAUUCUUUUAUCAUUAGGACUUGGUUUCUCCAAUUAAAAAAUGAAUCAAGAUUUGUAACUGAAUCUGCAUCUGUUUCAUUUAACAGCUAUUAUACAAUUUGAAAUUAUAGCGAGCCUCUAGUUUAAAGCAAAAAUAGAAACCAAGAAUCUUAACUCUGGAACUUUAUAGGGUUAAACAGCAAAUUCAUUUAAUUGAGAGUGUUUCCGCAAAUCCUCCGAUAUUUUGGGUCAGAUUACUGUGUUCUCACUUGGGUUAGUAGGGACUGUGGCUCCGUAUUUUUCUUUGUAAUUUUAAAUCUUCAUGCUCUACUGAUUUGGUUGUGUUUCCCUGAUCAGGUCGUUUAGUACAAGCUGCAUUUUGGUAUGGGCUUGUCGUCCACAUCAGNNNNNNNNNNNNNNNNUCCGAUCAUUUUAGUUCUUGAUCCCCUGUUCUUCCAGUAUGGUACAAAACCUGCUCUUGUGAAUUGGAGUUCUAGAAAAAGCAAGUCACAGCAGACUUCGAGCUGUAAAAAACUUAUCGAUCCUUGUUGUAUAUGCAACUUUUUAACAAGCCUUUUCACCUGGAGGAGGAUAAUGUUUGGGCUUAUUUCUGGAGCUCUGUUCUUUCUCCUUACGGGGCUUUUCUUCUUUUUAUAUGGCUGGGACUUCUUGCAUGAAGCACUGCUCUAUCAUCUUACACGUGCAGACCCAAGGCACAACUUUUCAAUUUAUUUCUACCAUAUAUAUCUGCACUAUGAACAUGAGUUAUCAAACUUGGAAAAGCUCGUCUCAUUUCUGCCUCAGAUUAUAGUGCAGCUAGUUCUUGUUUUCCGCUUUGCGCAGGAUUUUCCAUUUUGCUUCUUUGUGCAGACUGUGGCAUUUGUUGCGUUUAACAAGGUUUGUCAGCAAUGCUUGAAUCAGUUUUUGUUGAGAACCAGUAAAUAUUAGCUUGAUUUUCCUUUAGCGAGAUAAUGUGUUUUUUCCUCUGACAGGUUAUGACUGCUCAAUACUUUGUUUGGUUCUUCUGUCUCUUGCCACUAAUCCUACCAUGGACCAACAUGAAGCUCGGAGGAAAAGGAUUGGUCUGCAUCUUGGUGUGGAUGGCAGCUCAGGGUCACUGGUUAUUGUGGGGUUAUUUGCUUGAAUUUAAAGGAAAGAACGUCUUUCUUCAACUCUGGGUGGCAGGCUUGCUAUUCUUGGCUGCAAAUACUUUCGUUCUAAUCAAUAUUAUCCAGCAGCAUACAUAUAGUCCAAUCUUCCAAGUCCACCAGUCAUCUCGUGCCACUUCAAAGAAACAUGUCAAACAGAGAUGAGGAAUCAGAUCAUAUACAUCCUAAUUCAGAUCAUCACAUGGGUGGGAGUUUUCGAGCUAUUAGUGUAGCCAUGUUCGGGACUUGUAGAGCCUUUCAUCAUCAAGCAAAGCACUUGACUUUUUCAUAGCUCCAAAAUGGGUGCUGCUUAAAGUUAGAACUGUCUGCGCUGAAGAUGUAGCAAGAGAUCUUAAUGACAUUAUUUUUUGAACUUUUGGUCAUGUUGUGUAGUGCAUACUUCACUACAAUAGCAAUUUACAAAUGUCUAUUGCAAUUUUGUUGCAUUUAGUAUAGUUGAAUAUUUAUUAAUUCCAGUUUACUUCUCAUUUUAGUUUGUUUUUCAUUUCACACCCUUGCUAGAGUUAAGCUAGCUAGAGGAGUGAUGUCACAUCAUUUCCAUCUGCAUAGCUUGCUUAAGUUUCUCUGUAAAGCCAAUAUUAUUGGUAUAAUAAAGAUAUCUCUUUUUCUGUUCCUUUCAUUUUCCAGUUACUCUUUCUUUCAAUUUCUAGUUUCUCUUCUCCUAUGUUUUCAUUCCUUCAUUUCCUGUUGCCUUGUUUUCUAGUGUGAUUUCUUGUAGCUAAUUUUGCUACAAAUUGUAUCAGAGCAUAGCCGGGGAGAUUCCAUAAUACAUACCGGUUCAGCUCAUUGUCAAAUUACAGGCGCAGAUUUCACCCCUAAUGUGUAUCUGGAUGCCAAAGUUGUAGGAGAUUCUGUGGAGAAUUUGGAUUGGGAGGAUAAAUCAAAAGCAAGGCCAAGGACCCAGCAUUUCCCGAGGAGAAUGAAUAGUCUGUUGGAAGAUCAUGAACGGAGUGGGCUCCUUAAAGCCGAGAAUGAAGGGAGUGAUCUGUUUGGUUGGAGAGCCCUAAUAAACAGCAGUUGAAAUUACUAUCCACGCGAGAGUCUUCUGAAAUAUUUAUAGAUCUCUUCCUCUGGAAAAUACGCAGGACCUGGAACCUCCAGUGGACAUAUCUCUCUGGUAAAGAAAGACAAGCAAUGUGUUACACAGAAUCACUGUUCUGCUCAUACAGUACAGAUAGAAAUAACAGGAAGCUUGUUUCUUAACAGGAUAUUUUAUGAUUUAGUUGCAAUGAUUGAGACUUGGGACUCAGGAAAGGCGUAUGAACUGGUUAUUGAAAUUAAAUUGCUCCUAGUUAUUGGCCUCCUUGGUCAUGAUGCUCGCGGAGCGGAUUAAUUUCAUGGUAUAUUUAUAUUCAAACUUCUAAUAAACCAUCUGGAGUUGCUGUUCAUGAGUUUUUUAUUCCUCUUAUCAUGCUUGCCUUGCACCAUCAAUGCACUCUAUUCUAAUGCGCCUAUUGUUAAACUGAUAUACUAUUGGUCGGUGUCAACUUUCUUUCACUCUAUUAUUCUUGUUAUAUGGGCAAAGGUGGAAAGGUGAGAAAGGUGGUAAUUAUAUUAACAUAGGUGCACGGCCACCUCUAGAAUGUAUUUUUAAACUCAGGAGAAAAAUGGUAGCUAUAAAAGAUGAAGCUUAUUCCGGCACUACAUUUACAAAUGAGUGAUAUUGUCAAAGAUGUCUUAGAAAAAGAGAGCUGCAGUUGUAUGGGUAAGAGAUUUCUCCUUAUUAUGCUCUCCAGUGCUUAGCGGUGAACCUUGCAAGGAAUAAGUUAUAAUUUGUUUCACUGGAAACCAAAGGAACUGGGUGGUGUGAUGAAGAGGAUAACGCUCUGUGCUUGCUUCCAAUAUUUAAUUGUCCUUGUUCAAUCAAGUUAUUGCAAUAGGUAAUGUGAUUGUUGUGUUGUUACUUUAUUACUACUUCAAUGGUGGUUGGUAGUAGUACCAGCAGCUACUGCGACUCAGACAGGCAGACAGAUGGAUUAGAGUCCCUUGGUACUGGCAUGUGGGACAUUUGAAGCCGCCUUUCAGUCACAGUUUAAUCACUUUGACAAUGCAUCUUUUCGCCAUGAUCACACACACACAAAUAUAAUUGAUCUUGUAGCAAACAAUAACUACAAGCUAACAACUACCAAGUAGUUCGCUACUUAUUUAUUUAGACUAGAAUUGGGAGAGCCUUUCACCCAGAGGGAAAGCCCUUUCAAAAAUUCUCGAUGGCCAAGGCGUUCACCAAGGCCAAAGAGGGGGUUUGGAAAUAGUUUUCAACCAGCAAUAGACGCGCCUCGGUUAGAACCUCACUAGCUGCGUCAUUGCCCCAAGCGCAAAGAUAAGCUGUCUCCUUAUUCUGCCAUCCCUUUUAUAUCCCUCUUCCCUCUAAUAUUGGGUUGAUGUUGCCGAUGUGGGACAAAAUUAAUAACCGACUCAUUGCUACCAUACGGCCAAUCACGUACCAAACUUAAUAGAAAAGGUUAGUAACCCAAUGAUUAUUCGCAAUAAAAUGAUAAAGCAAAGCAAGACUGAAAGGUUUGUUUUACCUUGAUGGUAACUGGAAUUAAAAACAUAAGGAUAAUAAAUUAGAUCCAGAGACUAGUACACUUGUUUAAUUCGGAUGGUUGUACUCUAUUGUGUUGUUAGUUUAAAUAUAAUAUUUGUUUCAGCUAUUACUUAAAUUUUAUUGUAUCAUUAAAUUUAUUAUUAAGUACCGAUGAAAAGUCUCAACGAUCAAUUUGGUGUGAUUGUUUUUUUAUCUUUUUUUUUUUUUCUUCUCAUUUCCUCUUUACUUAAUAUCUAAUAAUUUAUUGUAUCUUUUACCUUAUCUUUUCUACUAGUUUUACCCAGUACCCAACUUUCUUUAGGUAUGCCCUUUGUUUUCUUCUUUGUCCCUUAAUUUUUGGCUUCUCUUUACAAUUUUCAUGUGAUUUAUGUUUAUUAUUAUUUAUUGAGACAGCUAGAUAAAUGAGAGAUAAUCUUUUGAUGAUCCAAGAUUUUUGGUUUGUUAAUUUUGAAUUAAGUUUUUAUAUUGUAUUUUCUAUAAAAAGAAGGUUUCUAAUUUCAAGAUAAUGCAAAGGUUCCAUUUUGUUAUUGUUUGUUGUUUCUUGUACCUCGAUUAUUGAUUUGUUUUGUUGUAGUUUGUGUUAUGUUGUUAUUUGUUAUUUUUGUUAUUAUUUGUUGUUUCUUGUACUUCCGUCACUUCUUUUUCGGGACUGCUUUUCUUGAGUUGAGGGUCUAUUGAAACAGCCUCUCGACCUCUGAGGUUGGGAUAAGAUCUGCGUACACUCUACUCUCCUCAGACCCGCUAUGUAGGAGUACACUCGGUAUGUUUUUGUUGCAAAGGUUCCAUUUUUAUCUACUCUUUCUUGUUUUCCCUCAUAGAAAUGCUUCUUAUAUGUGGUUUCCAAGAGAUUUUAGCCUCUCUCGGUCUCUCUCUGAUUAGGUGUCAUUGGCAAUCUUUGGGGUUGUUUUGGCUGUAUAACUAAGAAUGGACGAAUUGUUAAUUGUGACUGGCAUUUGUACGUCAUUUGUAAAUGAUCAAUGUAGGAGUAGUCAAAUAGCUCUUGAACUUGCACCUUUAUAUGUGGGUUUAUUAUCUCCUUAUUGCAAAUAAUACAUAAUUGGAAUUCUCUUAGAAACAUUACACCUUAAUUAUGUUUCCAAAACAGAUAUGCUUACUGAAACUUACAUUGAGUUCGUGCGGCA
rnacentral:lncRNA from 1 species